rnacentral:lncRNA from 1 species
GCCUCUUAAGAUUUCAUGUCUUGAUUGUGUUAGUAUACUUCUAAAUGCAAGCUUUCUAUUAAAAUGCAUUGUUUAAGAUUGAAACAACCAGAGAAGAACCCAUAAUAAAAUAGUUGCGAAUACAUAACUUGUUUUUGGAGGAGGAAGUUCUUACAAUUAGGAACUGUGCAAGGAAUAAACUUUAAGCCCUCAUGGGAAGAAGAAAGAGUUUGCCUCCAACCUGGAUCACAAUCUCAUUCAAACAAUAUAGUGUCAUUCUUAGAAGGCUUGCAAGUUCCUUUUCCACAUUCCAGUACUAUGCACAAAACCUUUGAACUUAUCUCACAAUACAAAAAGAACAGGAAGUCAAAACCAAAUUGUGAAGUUUAACUCAAAUCAAUUAAAAAAAAAAGAACGGAACUCGAGAAGACCCAUAAGAAUUAAAGCCAAGGAACUUCAUGCUAGUGAAUCAAAAGCAACAAGUCCAGAAUCUCCCAAUAAAGAAAUCCAAUCCAAUCAUAUAAAAAAGGGUAAUGUUCACAAACUAGAUAAUGGAGAGAUAUAAGAAAUCACUUCUGGCCGAAAGACUUCUGGGAAAUCCCAUCUUUAACUAUGAGAAAGAGUGUUAGGAUCCGACUAAAAAUGAAGUUAAAAGCUUAUCGAUAAAAUUAGCAUAUUCUAACAUAAAAGCAAAUUAAAUAUGUGUAACUCAUAAUUAAGGUAAAUAUUAAGCACGAUGAAACUGAGGAAAAAAAACUAACCUUUUCAUGAAGAAGAGUGUCGACCCUCUCACGCGGGGUUAUCAUCGCAAUUCUUUGAUGGAUACUUCGCCGUCACCA